rnacentral:rRNA from 1 species
GACGAACGCUGGCGGCGUGCUUAACACAUGCAAGUCGUACGGUAAGGCCCUGUCCUGGGUACACGAGUGGUGAACGGGGGAGUAACACGUGAGUAACCUUCCCAUAACUUUGGGAUAACGCUAGGAAACUGGAGCUAAUACUGGAUAUGUACUCUUUCUUCAUGGGGGGGGUUGGAAAGUUCCGGGGGUUGUGGAUGGACUUGCGGGCUAUCGGCUUGUCGGUGUGGUUGUGGCCUACCAAGACGGCGUCGGGUAGCCGGCCUGAGAGGGUGACCGGCGACAUUGGGACUGAGGUACGGCCCAGACUCCUACGGGAGGCAGAAGUGCGGAAGAUUGCACGAGGAGCGCAGGGCUGAUGCAGCAACGCCGCGGGCGGGAUGACGGCCUUAGGGUUGUAGACCGCAUUCAGAAGGGACGAAGCUUUUUGUGACGGUACCUGAAGAGGAAGCACCGGCUAACUACGUG